UGGGGAAUAUUGGUCAAUGGGCGCAAGCCUGAACCAGCGACGCCGCGUGAGUGAUGAAGGCCCUCGGGUUGUAAAGCUCUGUGAGGAGGAAAGAAAAAAUUGCGUUCGAAUAGGGCGCAAUCUUGACGGUACCUUCUUAGCAAGCACCGGCUAACUCUGUGCCGGCAGCCGCGGUAAGACAGAGGGUGCAAACGUUGCUCGGAAUUACUGGGCGUAAAGCGCGUGUAGGCGGGGAAAUAAGUCAGAUGUGAAAGCCCAGGGCUCAACCUUGGAACUGCAUUUGAAACUAUUUCUCUUGAGUAGUGGAGAGGGAAGCGGAAUUCCUGGUGUAGAGGUGAAAUUCGUAGAUAUCAGGAGGAACACCGGUGGCGAAGGCGGCUUCCUGGACACUUACUGACGCUGAGACGCGAAAGCAUGGGGAGCAAACAGGAUUAGAUACCCGCGUAGUCC
rnacentral:rRNA from 1 species